rnacentral:rRNA from 1 species
GGUUAAGCGACUAAGCGUACACGGUGGAUGCCCUGGCAGUCAGAGGCGAUGAAGGACGUGCUAAUCUGCGAAAAGCGUCGGUAAGGUGAUAUGAACCGUUAUAGCCGGCGAUGUCCGAAUGGGGAAACCCAGUGCAAUUCGUUGCACUAUCGUUAACUGAAUACAUAGGUUAACGAGGCGAACCGGGGGAACUGAAACAUCUAAGUACCCCGAGGAAAAGAAAUCAACCGAGAUUCCCCCAGUAGCGGCGAGCGAACGGGGAGCAGCCCAGAGUCUGAAUCAGCUUGUGUGUUAGUGGAACGGUCUGGAAAGUCCGACGGUACAGGGUGAUAGUCCCGUACACCAAAAUGCACAGGUUGUGAACUCGAAGAGUAGGGCGGGACACGUGGUAUCCUGUCUGAAUAUGGGGGGACCAUCCUCCAAGGCUAAAUACUCCUGACUGACCGAUAGUGAACCAGUACCGUGAGGGAAAGGCGAAAAGAACCCCGGCGAGGGGAGUGAAAAAGAACCUGAAACCGUGUACGUACAAGCAGUGGGAGCACCUUCGGGUGUGACUGCGUACCUUUUGUAUAAUGGGUCAGCGACUUAUAUUCUGUAGCAAGGUUAACCGUAUAGGGGAGCCGCAGGGAAACCGAGUCUUAACUGGGCGUUAAGUUGCAGGGUAUAGACCCGAAACCCGGUGAUCUAGCCAUGGGCAGGUUGAAGGUUGGGUAACACUAACUGGAGGACCGAACCGACUAAUGUUGAAAAAUUAGCGGAUGACUUGUGGCUGGGGGUGAAAGGCCAAUCAAACCGGGAGAUAGCUGGUUCUCCCCGAAAGCUAUUUAGGUAGCGCCUCGUGAACUCAUCUUCGGGGGUAGAGCACUGUUUCGGCUAGGGGGUCAUCCCGACUUACCAACCCGAUGCAAACUACGAAUACCGAAGAAUGUUAUCACGGGAGACACACGGCGGGUGCUAACGUCCGUCGUGAAGAGGGAAACAACCCAGACCGCCAGCUAAGGUCCCAAAGUCAUGGUUAAGUGGGAAACGAUGUGGGAAGGCACAGACAGCCAGGAUGUUGGCUUAGAAGCAGCCAUCAUUUAAAGAAAGCGUAAUAGCUCACUGGUCGAGUCGGCCUGCGCGGAAGAUGUAACGGGGCUAAACCAUGCACCGAAGCUGCGGCAGCGACACUAUGUGUUGUUGGGUAGGGGAGCGUUCUGUAAGCCUGCGAAGGUGUGCUGUGAGGCAUGCUGGAGGUAUCAGAAGUGCGAAUGCUGACAUAAGUAACGAUAAAGCGGGUGAAAAGCCCGCUCGCCGGAAGACCAAGGGUUCCUGUCCAACGUUAAUCGGGGCAGGGUGAGUCGACCCCUAAGGCGAGGCCGAAAGGCGUAGUCGAUGGGAAACAGGUUAAUAUUCCUGUACUUGGUGUUACUGCGAAGGGGGGACGGAGAAGGCUAUGUUAGCCGGGCGACGGUUGUCCCGGUUUAAGCAUGUAGGCUGGUUGUCCAGGCAAAUCCGGAUAAUCAAGGCUGAGGUGUGAUGACGAGGCACUACGGUGCUGAAGUAACAAAUGCCCUGCUUCCAGGAAAAGCCUCUAAGCAUCAGGUAACAUCAAAUCGUACCCCAAACCGACACAGGUGGUCAGGUAGAGAAUACCAAGGCGCUUGAGAGAACUCGGGUGAAGGAACUAGGCAAAAUGGUGCCGUAACUUCGGGAGAAGGCACGCUGGUGUGUAGGUGAAGCCCCUGCGGGUGGAGCUGAGACCAGUCGAAGAUACCAGCUGGCUGCAACUGUUUAUUAAAAACACAGCACUGUGCAAACACGAAAGUGGACGUAUACGGUGUGACGCCUGCCCGGUGCCGGAAGGUUAAUUGAUGGGGUUAUCCGUAAGGAGAAGCUCUUGAUCGAAGCCCCGGUAAACGGCGGCCGUAACUAUAACGGUCCUAAGGUAGCGAAAUUCCUUGUCGGGUAAGUUCCGACCUGCACGAAUGGCGUAAUGAUGGCCAGGCUGUCUCCACCCGAGACUCAGUGAAAUUGAACUCGCUGUGAAGAUGCAGUGUACCCGCGGCAAGACGGAAAGACCCCGUGAACCUUUACUAUAGCUUGACACUGAACAUUGAGCCUUGAUGUGUAGGAUAGGUGGGAGGCUUUGAAGCGUGGACGCCAGUCUGCGUGGAGCCAACCUUGAAAUACCACCCUUUAAUGUUUGAUGUUCUAACGUUGGCCCCUGACCGGGGUUGCGGACAGUGUCUGGUGGGUAGUUUGACUGGGGCGGUCUCCUCCCAAAGCGUAACGGAGGAGCACGAAGGUUAGCUAAUCCUGGUCGGACAUCAGGAGGUUAGUGCAAUGGCAUAAGCUAGCUUGACUGCGAGCGUGACGGCGCGAGCAGGUGCGAAAGCAGGUCAUAGUGAUCCGGUGGUUCUGAAUGGAAGGGCCAUCGCUCAACGGAUAAAAGGUACUCCGGGGAUAACAGGCUGAUACCGCCCAAGAGUUCAUAUCGACGGCGGUGUUUGGCACCUCGAUGUCGGCUCAUCACAUCCUGGGGCUGAAGUAGGUCCCAAGGGUAUGGCUGUUCGCCAUUUAAAGUGGUACGCGAGCUGGGUUUAGAACGUCGUGAGACAGUUCGGUCCCUAUCUGCCGUGGGCGCUGGAGAAUUGAGGGGGGCUGCUCCUAGUACGAGAGGACCGGAGUGGACGCAUCACUGGUGUUCGGGUUGUCAUGCCAAUGGCACUGCCCGGUAGCUAAAUGCGGAAGAGAUAAGUGCUGAAAGCAUCUAAGCACGAAACUUGCCCCGAGAUGAGUUCUCCCUGAGACUUUAAGUCUCCUGAAGGAACGUUGAAGACGACGACGUUGAUAGGCCGGGUGUGUAAGCGCAGCGAUGCGUUGAGCUAACCGGUACUAAUGAACCGUGAGGCUUAACCUU